GUCCAAGACAACUAGAACCCCCUUCCUCUCCGGGCAGACCAGCCGGGAUUAGGAGGCCAGCAGAGCACCCACAAACUGCGGGUCACGUGCGCGAUCAGAGCCCGACCAUCGAGUCAGUCCUCCAGCUUCCCAGAGCGGCCUCGGAAGUGCCCCUGCGGCUCGGGUCUUUCCGGCCAGGCAGUCCGCGCUUUUGUCCCGCCGGCGGCCGGGCUCCCGUGGUGCCGCCACAGCCAGAGAAACUCAUCUGUAGAGCAGUGGGUGCAACCGGAGGCCGCCGUCUGCCCUACCCCACCCCCACCCCACCGCAAACUGAGAAAGUGUUGGCCUAGGGAAAAGCCAGCGAAGGCACUUGAACCCAAGUGAUCGCUUGGGGGAAGUCCUGGGGCAGCGAUGUGAAAGAAAGAUAAACAGGAAGUUGAAAUGGAAGGUCUAAAAUUGAAAAGUAAAUGGAUGGAAAAUCUGAUGUAUGUGGACAUGGCAGAGUAUAGAUAAGGUAUGUUGCUGCUAAAGUUUCUGGGCCCACACUAGCCCACUUAUCAGUUCCAUGUUUUGUGUUGUGGGCUGCUCUACCCAGAGUAAUACAGAGAGCUGGGGAACUAGUCUGGCCUACCAUUCUUCAGUAACCUCAUCCUUGGGACUUAAUUUUAUAUACUAUUUCCUCAGAUGAGCCAACUUCUGCUUUAGUGGCUGCUGGGUGAUUCUUCACCUUCUAAAUGGUCUCCUAAAUUUCUAGCAUUUUCUAUUCCUUAUAGGAGGUCAUUAUUGCUAUGAAAAAAAGUUGGAUAGUUUGAUUCUUUACAUCUGUUCACUCUAAAGCAUGUAUUUUACUUUUAUUGACCAUUUUUUCCUCACAUAGUUGCAUACAUAGCUUUCCAAGUAA
rnacentral:lncRNA from 1 species